GAUGAAGAACGUAGCGAAAUGCGAUAAGUAGUGUGAAUUGCAGAAUUCAGUGAAUCAUCGUAUCUUUGAACGCACAUUGCGCCCCUUGGUAUUCCAUGGGGCAUGCCUGUUCGAGCGUCAUUUGUACCUUCAAGCUCUGCUUGGUGUUGGGUGUUUGUCUCGCCUCUGCGUGUAGACUCGCCUUAAAACAAUUGGCAGCCGGCGUAUUGAUUUCGGAGCGCAGUACAUCUCGCGCUUUGCACUCAUAACGACGACGUCCAAAAGUACAUUUUUACACUCUUGACCUCGGAUCAGGUAGGGAUACCCGCUGAACUUAAGCAUAUCAAUAAGCGGAGGA
rnacentral:misc_RNA from 1 species